rnacentral:tRNA from 1 species
UCUAUUUUGGCAGACUAGUGCAGCAAAUUUAGAUUUUGUGUAUGUGAGAGAAUCACAAAUAGAA